GGUAUUUUAAUUGUUAUUAGAUGAUAAAACAUAAAUAGUACUUUACGUGUGACUAUUUUUUUUAUGUUUUCCAUAAAUUUUUUAAACAAAACGGACGGUCAAACGUUAGACAAAAAACUCGUAUCUACGCUUAAA
rnacentral:pre_miRNA from 1 species